CAGCAGUGUGAUUCACAUCAAUGUAGUUAUCAGUAAUAAUAGUUAAAUGACAGAGCAGCUGUGUGAUUCACAUCAAUGUAGUUAUCAGUAAUAAUAGUUAAAUGA